rnacentral:rRNA from 1 species
UACGUAGGCAGCGAGCGUUGUUCGGAGUUACUGGGCGUAAAGCGUGCGUAGGCGGUUUUGUAAGUUUGGUGUGAAAUCUCCCGGCUCAACUGGGAGGGUGCGCCGAAAACUGCAAGGCUGGAGUGUGGGAGAGGUAGGCGGAAUUCCUGGUGUAGCGGUGAAAUGUGUAGAUAUCAGGAGGAACACCUGUGGUGUAGACGGCUUACUGGACCAUGACUGACGCUGAGGCACGAAAGCGUGGGGAGCAAACAGG